AGGAGGUCGGCGCUGAGUCCGCUGAGGGCGCUGGCGAGGGCGAGGGCGAGGAGUACUAGACGGAUAGAAGCGGUCUUUUGACUCCGUGCAUUUGUCCUCCUGCAAUGUGAAACUGCAUUAUUGUGUAACCAUUGACGGAAGUAUUUGUUACGCUGUGUCCAUGCGACCGCACAUAAACAAGCACUGGUGGUUUGCGUCAGCAUGGUUGGAGGGAAGGAACCAUGUUCAAAAUAAGCUCAGCUUGUCUUCACAUAAGCAUAUAUGAAUAUGGAUGUGUUAUACGAAUGCAGCAAACUUGAAAAUUGAUCUUCAGCGCGUCAAGGACCAAAACCGAACAUAAACACAAACAAACACUUGUCACUGGCGUGAGCGUGAAUCAUCAGAGAACUUCAUGUACAAUGAAUGUCUCGUAGUCUUGCGAUGCAAUCUAAGAUAGCGUACCCAUUCGCAAGAAUACAGCUUGAUUUGUGUUUGUGCAAUACGAAUGCUCGAGGUGUGGUAAUUUGGGCCUAUUUAUUGCCUCCAAAUGCAACCCCAAGUGCUCCACAGGUCUUUCGCUUUAAUUUCAUUUACCAUAGGGAAGCCUCUCAGUCUGCCGUACAUCGCCAGCAUCGCUAUCCUAGCCAUCUCGAAGGAGCAAUCAGUGGCAAUAAUCGCAGCUCCGCCACUGCUUUCAAUAGCAUGACGCAUGGCGACAUGGAUCCUCACUCGGCAUGCCAUGAUGCCUGGCGCAUGGAUCCUCACUAGCUACUGAGUCGUUCAGUGGUCCCUUGAGUUCCCUUGCUAUUGUACUCUAUGCUCUUUCAUUACGUGGCCACUAUGUGCAAGAUGCUAAAAGCCAUUAUAACAUGCGUCCGAGAUCAAAGAAGCGUGUACGGCUGCGCCGUGUGGGGCCAGGAAGGGUUG
rnacentral:lncRNA from 1 species